rfam:Ciona savignyi cont_45860, whole genome shotgun sequence.
UACCUGGUUGAUCCUGCCAGUAGUCAUAUGCUUGUCUCAAAGAUUAAGCCAUGCAAGUCUAAGUACGAGCUCUCGUACAGUGAAACUGCGAAUGGCUCAUUAAAUCAGUUAUGGUUCAUUUGAUCGUACAGUUUACUUGGAUAACUGUGGUAAUUCUAGAGCUAAUACAUGCGAGAAGCGCCGACCUCGCGGGAGGCGUGCAUUUAUCA